rnacentral:misc_RNA from 1 species
GCUUGACAAAGAAGGGCCUGAGAAAAAAAGAAACUUUAUAGUGAGAAUGAUUCUCUCUUGGUGGAUACAAGCUUUCAAAAGAAAGAACCAUAUUCCAAGUCACAACCUCUAUGCUACACAGGCCCACAAUUGCUAGCUGGAUCACAAUUACUUCUCAACUAAGUAUGCGCAAAAUUGAAGGCUUAUUGCAUGAUUCUGUCUCGUUUAUGUAAUAUGCUUAAAAAUGGAAUAUAGGUAGGUUC